ensembl:snoRNA
AUCCUUUUGUAGUUCAUAAGCAUGACGACUGGGUUUUCACGAGCAUGUGUGAGAUGUGCCUCCCUCAGUCCUUGUUACGACGUUGGCACAUUACCUGUCUGACA